rnacentral:misc_RNA from 1 species
UCACACUUGAACGAAAAAUAGCGAGGAAAAAUUGACUGUGGAAGAAAAAUGGAACAUAUACGAGAAGCAACACCAUGGACACGAAUCGAUGCAUGCCAAAAUGUUACUGGUUUUAUUAGUAACUGUACUAGUAGUACAAGUUAUAAUAGUUGAAUGGAAAAAAAUACAUUACAAAUCGUAUCAGCUCAUUACCUUAGUUGCUAUGUGGAUUAUUCCAUUUGGAUUAAGUUUAAAAAAUCACUGGUGGAGGUUUAUAUUCCUUUGGUUAGUAACAUCUUGUAUAACAGGAUUAGUAGUACGAAAGGCUGUUCAAAAGCCUAUAGCAGGUACAACACCCAGAUUGGUGUACAAAUGGUUUCUUUUUAUUUAUAAACUAAGUUAUGUGUUGGGUAUUAUAAGUUAUAUUAUAUUAUUAGCUACAUUUUUUGGUUUAAAUCUUGUAUUUGAAGUGAAACCUCAAGUAUGGAUAGAUUGUGGUAUGCUCUUGCUAUUUUAUGGUCUUUAUUUUGGAGUGUUAGGAAGAGAUGUAGCAGAAAUAUGCGCAGAUAAGAUGGCUUCGCAUGUUGGGUAUUAUGUACCAGGACAUAUGCCAACAAGGACUUUAGAACCUGGUGUGUGUGCUGUAUGUGGAAAUAGACUGUUAGUGUCAGAGAAUGAACCUGGCGUUCUUGAAGACACAUAUAAGCUUAGUUGUGAACAUGUGUUUCACGAAUUUUGUAUUAGAGGAUGGUGCAUAGUCGGAAAAAAACAAACAUGUCCAUAUUGCAAAGAAAAAGUUGAUCUCAAGAAAAUGUUUUGCAAUCCAUGGGAACGACCUCAUGUCUUGUAUGGUCAGCUAUUAGACUGGAUUAGGUGGUCAAUCGCUUGGCAACCAUUAAUUUUGUUUCUUGUUCAAGGUAUCAAUUGGGGCCUAGGCCUCGAAAUAACAGAGGAAUCAAAUUUUAAUGAUGGAUACAUAAAUAAGACAAGAUUAGAAGUCAAUAUUCAUUGAUGUAAUGAUCUGAUGAAUCAAUAGUAACAUGUGUGAAGUGAAAGGGAGGAUGUAAUUGUUUUUAGUUGGAUGUACAAAAGAAAUGUACAAGAAAGAGGCAUACAAGAAAGAAAGAAAUCAAUGAUAACAACUUUGUCAGUAAUGUUACUAAAAGUUUAAUUAACCUCUCACCAUGAUCCCUUUAGCAAAAACAACUUGUAUCACAUCUCGCAUUCAUAGGACAGGUGAACAAACCACGGACAAGGUGAAGAACACACUGAACCUGCAAGAUUGGAUGACACAGGUGUGAGGUGAAGACAAUUUGACAAGUUUGGCUGUUGGAUUGAGACGCCACGAAUACGAUGGGAUUCAUCAGGGAUGGGUCAAAGGGUAGACAAUCACAAACACUGGGAAAUUUUAUAGAUAUAUUUAUUGAGUACUUAGCGUGUAAGAGUAUAGAAUAAUAUGUUACCUUAUCCGUUAAAUAUCAUUACAUGGUAUCAUUGUAUAAUGAUGUAGUCUUUAAAAUAAAACCUCGCGCGGACAGAUUGCGCGUGUCGUGUGUGUA